rnacentral:rRNA from 1 species
GGAGUUUACUUCUGAGGUGGCGAGCGGCGGACGGGUGAGUAAUGCCUAGGGAUCUGCCCAGUCGAGGGGGAUAACAGUUGGAAACGACUGCUAAUACCGCAUACGCCCUACGGGGGAAAGGAGGGGACCUUCGGGCCUUCCGCGAUUGGAUGAACCUAGGUGGGAUUAGCUAGUUGGUGAGGUAAUGGCUCACCAAGGCGACGAUCCCUAGCUGUUCUGAGAGGAUGAUCAGCCACACUGGGACUGAGACACGGCCCAGACUCCUACGGGAGGCAGCAGUGGGGAAUAUUGCACAAUGGGGGAAACCCUGAUGCAGCCAUGCCGCGUGUGUGAAGAAGGCCUUCGGGUUGUAAAGCACUUUCAGUAGGGAGGAAAGGGUGUA